rnacentral:rRNA from 1 species
AGAGUUUGAUCAUGGCUCAGAUUGAACGCUGGCGGCAUGCCUUACACAUGCAAGUCGAACGGCAGCACGGGAGCAAUCCUGGUGGCGAGUGGCGAACGGGUGAGUAACGCAUCGGAACGUGUCCUGUCGUGGGGGAUAGCCCGGCGAAAGCCGGAUUAAUACCGCAUACGACCUACGGGUGAAAGCGGGGGAUCGCAAGACCUCGCGCGAUUGGAGCGGCCGAUGUCAGAUUAGCUUGUUGGUGGGGUAAAAGCCUACCAAGGCGACGAUCUGUAGCUGGUCUGAGAGGACGACCAGCCACACUGGGACUGAGACACGGCCCAGACUCCUACGGGAGGCAGCAGUGGGGAAUUUUGGACAAUGGGCGCAAGCCUGAUCCAGCCAUGCCGCGUGCGGGAAGAAGGCCUUCGGGUUGUAAACCGCUUUUGUCAGGGAAGAAAAGCUCCGGGCUAACACCUUGGAGUCAUGACGGUACCUGAAGAAUAAGCACCGGCUAACUACGUGCCAGCAGCCGCGGUAAUACGUAGGGUGCAAGCGUUAAUCGGAAUUACUGGGCGUAAAGCGUGCGCAGGCGGCUUUGCAAGACAGGUGUGAAAUCCCCGGGCUCAACCUGGGAACUGCACUUGUGACUGCAUGGCUGGAGUACGGUAGAGGGGGAUGGAAUUCCGCGUGUAGCAGUGAAAUGCGUAGAUAUGCGGAGGAACACCGAUGGCGAAGGCAAUCCCCUGGACCUGUACUGACGCUCAUGCACGAAAGCGUGGGGA